rnacentral:tRNA from 1 species
GCUCUCGUGGUCUAGCGGCCCAGGACAGCCGAGCGCUCUUUGGGACUCGACGGCGUCGGUUCGAAUCCGGCCGGGAGCU